UUACGAUCAUAUCACGUUGAAACUCCGGUUCUCAAACGAUCACUGAAGUUAAGCAAAGUAUAGCCUGGUCAGUACCUAGAUGGGUGACCGCUUGGGAAUACCAGGUGUUGUGA